rnacentral:rRNA from 1 species
UACGAAGGGAGCUAGCGUUGUUCGGAAUCACUAGGCGUAAAGCGCGUGUAGGCGGCUCGGUAAGUCUGCUGUGAAAGUCCAGGGCUCAACCCUGGGAUGCCGGUGGAUACUGUCGAGCUCGAGUCCGGAAGAGGCGAGUGGAAUUCCUGGUGUAGCGGUGAAAUGCGCAGAUAUCAGGAGGAACACCGGUGGCGAAGGCGGGACUCUGGGCCGAUACUGACGCUGAGGAGCGAAAGCGUGGGGAGCAAACAGG